AUUAAAAAAAAGAAUGUUGGAAGUCUAAUACAAUGUCUUCAAAAUUCAAAAUCGAUGUUAAUUGAUUUUCUUGAUUGUUUCAGUUAGUAUUUACUUUUUCUCUAUUUUAUAAUUACUAGAAAGGACUUAAUAUUUCUCUGUAUUUUAUUAAAAAUGCAGUCUCGUGUUGGUAUUCUGCCAGGGUAGUAUUUUAUAUCACAUUUAAAAUGUACUAAACUGAAAAUGAGUCAUGGUCUGACUUUUUCUAGAUCCUCAAGUUGUAAUUAUGUGCAAUUUUUUUCUUGCUUUCUUAUAAAAAAAUUGACAAGAUAUGAUAGAAGUAAUGAAAAUAUUUCGGUGAAUAGAGAAGUACUUGCAUACUAUCACUAAAUAAACUUCUAGGACUACAAUGUAUUUUUUAUUUUUACAUGCUUUAGUAAAAAGCAAUAAAAUUCAUAAUGGAUAAAUGCAAUUAAUAGUUUCUAAUGAGCAAUUUAUUCAUUAGAUAUUUUUCAUUAUUAGGGACAUCUGUAUUUUUUUCCUAUUAAAUCUCAUAUACAAGCGUUUUCUUUUUACAAAUUUGACCUUACAUAAUUUUUAUUAAAUAUGCUUAAACAUGUCAUUUGGGAAUUUUUCAAUCUUAAGGAGACUCUGCAUAUUUUCUACCCUUUCUCCAAGCUAUUUUACUAUUUUUUUUUUUCUAUUUUCAAAAAGACCUCUUUGGGUUUUUGGAGAAGGAAUUCGUGUAUGUUGAUAUGGAUUUUAAAGUACUCUUGUGG
rnacentral:lncRNA from 1 species